UCCACCACAGCCUCUAACAUCCGCCCACUUAUCUUCUCUUUCUUUUUAAAAAUGUUUUUUUUUUCUUUAAUUCUGCAAACAUUCCCUAUGGUGUAUUUGGAUUACACUCACCCAGUGUCUUUAACCCUCUUGUAGAUGGAAGUUUCUGUCGAGGACUCAGGGGCAUUCAGGCUGAGGACUCAUGGAGACAGAAUCUUCCCCUUUUGGCUGAGGAGUUGGUGAGUGAAAACUCCGAAGAGCUUAAGAGGAAGUAGAGGUUGACCUCAAACUUAUUAUGUAGCUGAGAAGAAUCCUGAACUUCUGACUCUCC